AGUAACACUGGGUAACCUGCCCAUCAGAAGGGGGUAACACUUGGAAACAGGUGCUAAUACCGUAUAACAAUCGAAACCGCAUGGUUUCGGUUUGAAAGGCGCUUUUGCGUCACUGAUGGAUGGACCCGCGGUGCAUUAGCUAGUUGGUGAGGUAACGGCUCACCAAGGCAACGAUGCAUAGCCGACCUGAGAGGGUGAUCGGCCACAUUGGGACUGAGACACGGCCCAA
rnacentral:rRNA from 1 species